UACGUAGGGUGCAAGCGUUAAUCGGAAUUACUGGGCGUAAAGCGUGCGCAGGCGGCUUUGCAAGACAGUUGUGAAAUCCCCGGGCUCAACCUGGGAACUGCAUCUGUGACUGUAUAGCUAGAGUACGGUAGAGGGGGAUGGAAUUCCGCGUGUAGCAGUGAAAUGCGUAGAUAUGCGGAGGAACACCGAUGGCGAAGGCAAUCCCCUGGACCUGUACUGACGCUCAUGCACGAAAGCGUGGGGAGCAAACAGG
rnacentral:rRNA from 1 species